UACGUAGGGUGCGAGCGUUAAUCGGAAUUACUGGGCGUAAAGCGUGCGCAGGCGGUUUCACAAGCUCGAUGUGAAAGCCCCGGGCUUAACCUGGGAAUGGCAUUGAGGACUGUGGAGCUCGAGUGCGGCAGAGGGAGGUGGAAUUCCACGUGUAGCAGUGAAAUGCGUAGAGAUGUGGAGGAACACCGAUGGCGAAGGCAGCCUCCUGGGCCGACACUGACGCUCAUGCACGAAAGCGUGGGGAGCAACAGG
rnacentral:rRNA from 1 species